rnacentral:rRNA from 1 species
UGGGGAAUAUUGCACAAUGGGCGCAAGCCUGAUGCAGCCAUGCCGCGUGUAUGAAGAAGGCCUUCGGGUUGUAAAGUACUUUCAGCGGGGAGGAAGGGAGUAAAGUUAAUACCUUUACUCAUUGACGUUACCCGCAGAAGAAGCACCGGCUAACUCCGUGCCAGCAGCCGCGGUAAUACGGAGGGUGCAAGCAUUAAUCGGAAUUACUGGGCGUAAAGCGCACGCAGGCGGUUUGUUAAGUCAGAUGUGAAAUCCCCGGGCUCAACCUGGGAACUGCAUCUGAUACUGGCAAGCUUGAGUCUCGUAGAGGGGGGUAGAAUUCCAGGUGUAGCGGUGAAAUGCGUAGAGAUGUGGAGGAAUACCGGUGGCGAAGGCGGCCCCCUGGACAAAGACUGACGCUCAGGUGCGAAAGCGUGGGGAGCAAACAGG